rnacentral:tRNA from 1 species
GGAGUGGUAGUUCAGUUGGUUAGAAUACCGGCCUGUCACGCCGGGGGUCGCGGGUUCGAGUCCUGUCCACUCCGCCA